AUGAAAGGAUUUGCACAACGCCCGGCCACUGGCACCAGGGAAGGGAUAACCAUCAUCUGGAACGGGGACUUGCUCCAGGUCUCGGACAUUGAAGUGGGCGUCUAUGAUCUUUCUCUCACAAUUGCUUUGCAAGGUGACAAGUGUUCCUUCUGCCUCACUUCCGUUCAUGGCCCUACGGCUAAUGAAGGAAAAGGUGAAUUCUUUAGUGAGUUGAUUGCACACAAGCCGCUGUCUGACAGCAAAUGGCUAGUGAAUGGGGAUUUCAACCAAAUUUAUCGAGCUAGAGAUAGAAACAGAAAUAACGCCAACAAUUGUGUAUCAACCGCUUCUGGCACACUUUUCAUCCGUGUGACUUUCGGGAGAUACAUCUUCAGAACCGGCGAUUCACAUGAUCAAAUGAGAAGCAAAACCCUAAUAUGA
rnacentral:rRNA from 1 species